AAGUGAUCGAAUUAUUAUUGUAUUGUUUUUAAAUUAUCAUCAGAUCCCGCGUAUACGAAUUCGAUCCGAAACAUUUUUUUUUAAAGUUUGGAUUGCGACGUCUGCAGCGGCAAGGGUUGAUAUUCUGUUAGCUUCCUCGAGAUAAAGAAUCAAGCCAUGACCGUUUCCGCAAUUUGUUUGGUUCUGGAGCACUUUCAUGCUGCCCGCUCCCCUUUUUUGUUAUUCAUGAUGAAAUUCACUGCUCACCUACAUCGAACGCUCGUGCAUUUACUAGCAGUGUACUCAGAUAAUUUACUAGCGGUGGCGAAGACUUACAUACCGAAUAAAAGCGGAGCGCCAGGCUGCUUAGGGUGGAAAAUCGCAAGCGAUUGUAUGCAGCGAAUCAAAAUAAAUUGGCGGCGAUAUAGAAAAUCACCGAAGAUGUUCUCCUAGUAUUUCGAAAUUGCCAUGUCUUCCGCAUUCCAGCACCAGGCAGAAGCGCAGUAUUGACUCCAGCGCAGAGAUACUCACAACGGCAACAGUUCUUAAUUUAAAAGUUCAUAGUUUUCGUUGGAAACAGCAUGUCUUUUAAUAAAACUUCCAUUUCAAUGUUGAU